rnacentral:rRNA from 1 species
GAUGAACGCUAGCGGCAGGCUUAACACAUGCAAGUCGAGGGGUAUAGGUUUUCGGACCUAGAGACCGGCGCACGGGUGCGUAACGCGUAUGCAAUCUACCUUUUACAGAGGGAUAGCCCAGAGAAAUUUGGAUUAAUACCUCAUAGUAUUAUUUAAUGGCAUCAUUUAAUAAUUAAAGUUCCAACGGUAAAAGAUGAGCAUGCGUCCCAUUAGCUAGAUGGUAAGGUAACGGCUUACCAUGGCGACGAUGGGUAGGGGUCCUGAGAGGGAGAUCCCCCACACUGGUACUGAGACACGGACCAGACUCCUACGGGAGGCAGCAGUGAGGAAUAUUGGUCAAUGGGCGCAAGCCUGAACCAGCCAUGCCGCGUGCAGGAUGACGGUCCUAUGGAUUGUAAACUGCUUUUGUACAGGAAGAAACAGUUCUACGUGUAGAACCUUGACGGUACUGUAAGAAUAAGGAUCGGCUAACUCCGUGCCAGCCGCCGCGGUAACAC